GUGUAGCUCAGUGGUAGAGCACUUGCUUAGCACGCAAUGCACAAGGCCCUGGGUUCCAGCCCCAGCAC
rnacentral:tRNA from 1 species